rnacentral:rRNA from 1 species
CACUUCGGUGGGGAUUAGUGGCGAACGGGUGAGUAACACGUGGGCAAUCUGCCCUGCACUCUGGGACAAGCCCUGGAAACGGGGUCUAAUACCGGAUACUGACCCGCCUGGGCAUCCAGGCGGUUCGAAAGCUCCGGCGGUGCAGGAUGAGCCCGCGGCCUAUCAGCUUGUUGGUGAGGUAACGGCUCACCAAGGCGACGACGGGUAGCCGGCCUGAGAGGGCGACCGGCCACACUGGGACUGAGACACGGCCCAGACUCCUACGGGAGGCAGCAGUGGGGAAUAUUGCACAAUGGGCGAAAGCCUGAUGCAGCGACGCCGCGUGAGGGAUGACGGCCUUCGGGUUGUAAACCUCUUUCAGCAGGGAAGAAGCGCAAGUGACGGUACCUGCAGAAGAAGCGCCGGCUAACUACGUGCCAGCAGCCGCGGUAAUACGUAGGGCGCGAGCGUUGUCCGGAAUUAUUGGGCGUAAAGAGCUCGUAGGCGGCUUGUCGCGUCGGUUGUGAAAGCCCGGGGCUUAACCCCGGGUCUGCAGUCGAUACGGGCAGGCUAGAGUUCGGUAGGGGAGAUCGGAAUUCCUGGUGUAGCGGUGAAAUGCGCAGAUAUCAGGAGGAACACCGGUGGCGAAGGCGGAUCUCUGGGCCGAUACUGACGCUGAGGAGCGAAAGCGUGGGGAGCGAACAGGAUUAGAUACCCUGGUAGUCCCACGCCGUAAACGGUGGGCACUAGGUGUGGGCGACAUUCCACGUCGUCCGUGCCGCAGCUAACGCAUUAAGUGCCCCGCCUGGGGAGUACGGCCGCAAGGCUAAAACUCAAGGAAUUGACGGGGGCCCGCACAAGCGGCGGAGCAUGUGGCUUAAUUCGACGCAACGCGAAGAACCUUACCAAGGCUUUG